AUUAUAAAUAUGUUGCACGGACCAUUAGAAAGAGUUUCAACUGUUUGAACCCUUUCGCCAAAAUAUCUUGGAAGGGGCGCACGGGAAACAGCAAAAAAAUGCCCCAAUGAUGGAAAUUGCCCGGUUGCUAUCAUGUGUUUAUUGACAGUAAUAGAAAGUAAAUUUUAAAAAUCAUCUCCGCUAUAGAAAUGCGCGGAUAUAAAAACGAU